UUAGUUGGGGACUCACAGGAGACUGCCGGGGUUAACUCGGAGGAAGGUGGGGAUGACGUCAAAUCAUCAUGGCCCUUACGGCCAGGGCGUACACACGUGCUACAAUGGUCGGUACAAAGGGUUGCUACCUAGCGAUAGGAUGCUAAUCCCAAAAAGCGCGUCGUAGUCCGGAUCGGAGUCUGCAACUCGACUCCGUGAAGUCGGAAUCGCUAGUAAUCGCAAAUCAGAAUGUUGCGGUGAAUACGUUCCCGGGCCUUGUACACACCGCCCGUCACACCAUGGGAGUGGGUUGCACCAGAAGUAGUUAGUCUAACCCUCGGGAGGACGAUUACCACGGUGUGAUUCAUGACUGGGGUGAAGUCGUAACAAGGUACCA
rnacentral:rRNA from 1 species